rnacentral:misc_RNA from 1 species
CUAUGGCAAUGGCAGCCCUAAUAUUGUCCAAAAGAAUGAUUGUAUGUCUAAGCCUUCAAAUUUGAUCCCUGGGUCCAGUAAAUCUCUUGAUGCACAGGAGAGAGUUCUAUCUACAAGGAUGACAAAGGAAAAGCUUUAUGGAGAAAAGAAGGGCACAAAAGAAUAUCAAGACCCAGUUAGAGUUAUGAAGCGAUUCAAAGCUGAGUUUUCUCAAGAAUGCGUGGCAAAAGCAGCAUUUCCUAAUAUGCCCC